rnacentral:rRNA from 1 species
AGCUCCAAUAGCGUAUAUUAAAGUUGUUGUGGUUAAAAAGCUCGUAGUUGGAUUUCGGCGGGUAGUGGUUGGUUUGAAUUGAUUCAACACUGACUUUUUUACCCGUGUGUUUUGCCAGAAUCUUACGGGUGAUCUUUACCGAUUGUCCGUUGGAACUGGCAGGUUUACUUUGAAAAAAUUAGAGUGCUCAAAGCAAGCUUACUGCGCAUGGAAUAAUAGAAUAGGAAGUCGUUUCUAUUUUGUUGGUUUUCGGAAAUCGACUUAAUGAUUAAUAGGGAUAGUCGGGGGCAUUCGUAUUCAAACGACAGAGGUGAAAUUCUUGGACCGUUUGAAGACGAACUAAGGCGAAAGCAUUUGCCAAGAAUGUUUUCA